AACGAACGCUGGCGGCAUGCCUAACACAUGCAAGUCGAACGAGACCUUCGGGUCUAGUGGCGCACGGGUGCGUAACGCGUGGGAACCUGCCCUUAGGUUCGGAAUAACUCCCCGAAAGGGGUGCUAAUACCGGAUAAUGUCUUCGGACCAAAGAUUUAUCGCCUUUGGAUGGGCCCGCGUUGGAUUAGCGAGUUGGUAGGGUAAAAGCCUACCAAGGCGACGAUCCAUAGCUGGUCUGAGAGGAUGAUCAGCCACACUGGGACUGAGACACGGCCCAGACUCCUACGGGAGGCAGCAGUGGGGAAUAUUGGACAAUGGGCGAAAGCCUGAUCCAGCAAUGCCGCGUGAGUGAUGAAGGCCUUAGGGUUGUAAAGCUCUUUUACCCGGGAUGAUAAUGACAGUACCGGGAGAAUAAGCGCCGGCUAACUCCGUG
rnacentral:rRNA from 1 species